rnacentral:rRNA from 1 species
UAGGGAAUCUUCCGCAAUGGACGAAAGUCUGACGGAGCAACGCCGCGUGAGUGAUGAAGGUUUUCGGAUCGUAAAGCUCUGUUGUUAGGGAAGAACAAGUACCUGUUAAAUAAGCAGGUACCUUGACGGUACCUAACCAGAAAGCCACGGCUAACUACGUGCCAGCAGCCGCGGUAAUACGUAGGUGGCAAGCGUUGUCCGGAAUUAUUGGGCGUAAAGCGCGCGCAGGCGGUUCCUUAAGUCUGAUGUGAAAGCCCACGGCUCAACCGUGGAGGGUCAUUGGAAACUGGGGAACUUGAGUGCAGAAGAGGAGAGCGGAAUUCCACGUGUAGCGGUGAAAUGCGUAGAGAUGUGGAGGAACACCAGUGGCGAAGGCGGCUCUCUGGUCGGUAACUGACGCUGAGGCGCGAAAGCGUGGGGAGCGAACAG